UGAGGAAUAUUGGGCAAUGGGCGCAAGCCUGACCCAGCCAUCCCGCGUGAAGGACGACUGCCCUAUGGGUUGUAAACUUCUUUUGUAUAGGGAUAAACCUACCCUCGUGAGGGUAGCUGAAGGUACUAUACGAAUAAGCACCGGCUAACUCCGUGCCAGCAGCCGCGGUAAUACGGAGGGUGCAAGCGUUAUCCGGAUUUAUUGGGUUUAAAGGGUCCGUAGGCGGACUUAUAAGUCAGUGGUGAAAGCCUGUCGCUUAACGAUAGAACUGCCAUUGAUACUGUAAGUCUUGAGUAUAUUUGAGGUAGCUGGAAGAAGUAGUGUAGCGGUGAAAUGCAUAGAUAGUACUUAGAACACCAAUUGCGAAGGCAGGUUACCAAGAUAUAACUGACGCUGAGGGACGAAAGCGUGGGGAGCGAACA
rnacentral:rRNA from 1 species